AAAUUAAUAAAAUAAAAUUAAUAAAAAAAUUUUUAAAAAUAUAUGGGGGUUUAAGUAUUUUUAAAGAAUAAAUAAAAAAUUUUAUAGUGAAGUAGUAUUGUAAAAUAAAUUUGAAAUAAAAGAAAAUAAAUUAGAAAAAAAGUAAUAUUAAAUUUAUGUAUCUUGUGUAUCAGAGUUUAUUAAAAAUAAUUUUUAUAUAAAAAUUUCUCGAAUUUAAAAGAGAGAAUUAAUUAUAAAAGUUAUUGUUGAAAAAAUAUUUUAAAUAAUUAAUUAGCAAUGAAAUGUUAAUCGUUUUUAAAUAUAUCUAGUUUUUUUAGAAAAAAAUUUAAUUUUAAAUUUAUUUAAUAAAAUAGAAUUUAAUUUAGAAAAUAAUUUUAAGAAUAAAUUAAAUAAUUUAGGGGAUAAGCUUUAAAUUAAAUGAUUAUAAUAAAAAAAAAUAAAAAUUUAAAAUUUUAGGAUUUAUAUUGUUUAAAAAUUAUAAUUUUUUAUAAAUAAAUUAAUUAAAAAAUAAAAUUUAAAAUAUAAAAUUUAAUUUUUUAUAAAAAAAUAUAAUAAAAUAAAAAAAUGAAAGUUAAAAUGAUAAAAUUAGUAUAAAAUUAUUUAUAAAAAAAUAAAAAUUAAAAAAAUUAAUUAAAAGGAAUUCGGCAAAGAAAUAUAUUCACUUGUUUAUCAAAAACAUGUCUUUUUGGAAAUAAUUUAAAGUCUAAUCUGCCCACUGAUAAUAAUUAAAGGGCUGCAGUAUAUUGACUGUACAAAGGUAGCAUAAUCAUUAGUCUCUUAAUUGGUGACUUGUAUGAAAGAUUGGAUGAAAUAUAAACUGUCUCUUGAUUAAAUAUAGAAUUUAAUUUUUUAAUAAAAAAGUUAAAAUAAAUUUAAAAGACGAGAAGACCCUAUAGAGUUUAAUAAUUGAAUUAUAAAAUUAAUAUAUAAAAAUAUAAAAAAUUUAAUAAAUAAGAUUAUUUAGUUGGGGUGAUUAAAAAAUUUAAUAAACUUUUUAAAUUUGAUUUCAUAAAUAAAUGAAUUUUUGAUCCAAAAGUUUUGAUUAAAAGAAAAAAUUACCUUAGGGAUAACAGCGUAAUUUUUUUUUUUAGUUCAUAUAAAAAAAAAAGUUUGCGACCUCGAUGUUGGAUUAAGAUAAAAUUUAAAUGCAAAAGUUUAAAAUUUUUGAUCUGUUCGAUCAUUAAAAUCUUACAUGAUCUGAGUUCAAACCGGUGUAAGCCAGGUUGGUUUCUAUCUUUAAAAUAAAAAAAAUAUUUUAGUACGAAAGGAUCAAAUAUUUAAAAUAAAUUUUAAAAAAAAAGAAUUUUAAUAAUAUAAAAUAAAUAUGAA
rnacentral:rRNA from 1 species